rnacentral:rRNA from 1 species
GAUGAACGCUGGCGGCGUGCCUAAUACAUGCAAGUCGAGCGAACAGAUGAGGAGCUUGCUCCUCUGACGUUAGCGGCGGACGGGUGAGUAACACGUGGAUAACCUACCUAUAAGACUGGGAUAACUUCGGGAAACCGGAGCUAAUACCGGAUAAUAUAUUGAACCGCAUGGUUCAAUAGUGAAAGACGGUUUUGCUGUCACUUAUAGAUGGAUCCGCGCCGCAUUAGCUAGUUGGUAAGGGAACGGCUUACCAAGGCAACGAUGCGUAGCCGACCUGAGAGGGUGAUCGGCCACACUGGAACUGAGACACGGUCCAGACUCCUACGGUAGGGAGCAGUAGGGAAGCUUCGGCAAUGGGCGAAAGCUUGACGGAGCAACGCCGCGGGAGUGAUGAAGGUCUUCGGAUCGUAAAACUCUGUUAUUAGGGAAGAACAAAUGUGUAAGUAACUAUGCACGUCUUGACGGUACCUAAUCAGAAAGCCACGGCUAACUGCGUG